ensembl:lncRNA
GGUUGGAAUAUGCAUUAGGCAGAACAAUUAAGCAAGCUGUUUCUCUUGAAUUUAAAUGGCUUGCUUGAAAAUUGAGUUUGGUUUGGGGCUCUGCCUUCAGAGAAGAGGCACAUGAAAGCAAUGCAGUUUGAUUUAUGGAAGCUGCAUGGACUAGGUCAAAAGGUAUCUCAAGUUAUAGAUCAUCUACGCUGCACCACCUUCCAUACAGAUUUAGAGCAAACCUCAAAAUGCCACAAGAGGAUUGACUCUGAGGAACUCAGUUUGGCUCCUGCACGGCGUGCUGGAGCUGACCGUGCUUCGUGAGUGUGUCAUCUGCUCUCUGGCUGCCCGAGUGCCGCACCGCCAUCUGGCUCAACUCAGGGAAAUGCACAGAGGGAACAGAGGGCUGCACAGAGCCAGCAGGAAGCCCCCCAAACGCUGCGCCCUGUGUCCCUGAAACGCAUUUCCUUUUCAAAUCAGUCAGCAAAAGUCAUUGUGGGAGAGAAAGCUUGAGUGAGCACGCUCAUCAGAGGAGGUUCAUAAGGAUGAACUGCUUGUAAAGAAAACAGUCAUUAGCAGCUUCUUGACGUGGAAAGAUGCAGAGCCCGACCACCCACAAGACUUAGAUUAACCUCUGCAGUGACAUUAAUAACUAUUUUCCUGUUAUACAUUACAGAUUUACUUUGAUCUAUUAAUUUGGUAUAAUGGCUCUGUUGGUUGAUUAUCAAAGGCUGAACUGAUUACCCGCUAAUGUUAUGACGGCAUCGGUAUAUCCAUUCUGAGUUCCUGGCACUUUACAAAUAGAUAGGUAGAUCAGAUUGACUUGUGCCUUUUGUCCAAUGGUACCUCGAGGUUUCAGACACUUCUGCUCAUCUCUGUAGCAUCUGUCUGUCUGGUUUAGUUUUAUUAACACAGUAGACUAUGAACACCCAGGCUAUUUCCAUUUGGGGUUGAAUUUUCCAUUUAGCAAGGCUGUGUAGUUACUGUCAGUCUUUGAAGAUAGCAUGGGCUUAUCAGCAGUGCCUCACUCAGCCUCACAUUGAAACAGCUUUUUCUGAUAGAAGUUUCCUGCCAAACCAAAACCAGGUACAGCCCAAGAGCUCGAACUUUAUUGUCUAAGUCUAUGUUGUUCUAAUUAUAACUAACAAUAUAUUUUACCAUCUGCUGGCAGUUCUCUUACAAAUUGCUAGAAAAGCUCCCUUCAUUCAGAAGCUUGUCAUCCA